rnacentral:rRNA from 1 species
AGAGUUUGAUUCUGGCUCAGGAUGAACGCUGGCGGCGUGCUUAACACAUGCAAGUCGAACGGGAAUGCCACGCUGAUGCGAUUUCGGUCAAAUCAUGUGGCAUUCGAGUGGCGGACGGGUGAGUAACGCGUGGGUAACCUGCCUUACACAGGGGGAUAACACCUGGAAACAGGUGCUAAUACCGCAUAAGCGCACAGGGCCGCAUGGCCCGGUGUGAAAAACUCCGGUGGUGUAAGAUGGACCCGCGUCUGAUUAGCUUGUUGGCGGGGUAGGGGCCCACCAAGGCGACGAUCAGUAGCCGGCCUGAGAGGGUGGACGGCCACAUUGGGACUGAGACACGGCCCAAACUCCUACGGGAGGCAGCAGUGGGGGAUAUUGGACAAUGGGGGAAACCCUGAUCCAGCGACGCCGCGUGAGUGAAGAAGUAUUUCGGUAUGUAAAGCUCUGUCAGCAGGGAAGAAAGAAAUGACGGUACCUGACCAAGAAGCCCCGGCUAACUACGUGCCAGCAGCCGCGGUAAUACGUAGGGGGCAAGCGUUAUCCGGAAUUACUGGGUGUAAAGGGAGCGUAAACGGUGAUGCAAGUCUGGAGUGAAAGGCGGGGGCC